UACGUAGGUGGCGAGCGUUGUCCGGAUUUACUGGGCGUAAAGAGCGCGCAGGCGGUCGUACAAGUCGCGUGUGAAAGCCCCCGGCUCAACUGGGGAGGGUCACGCGAUACUGUUCGACUCGAAGGCAGGAGAGGGAAGUGGAAUUCCCGGUGUAGUGGUGAAAUGCGUAGAUAUCGGGAGGAACACCAGUGGCGGAAGGCGACUUCCUGGCCUGGUUCUUGACGCUGAGGCGCGGAAA
rnacentral:rRNA from 1 species